GACCGAAUCCUGCUUCACCCCACAGGUAUGCUUCAGUGUUCAAAGGUUGUCUGACACUGUACACUGGCCGUGGGGGCGAUCUGCAGAAGAUUGGAGAGUAAGUUGUCUCAGCAGUUGAGAUAAGCGCCAGGAACCCAAAGUGGAUAAGUUAGGGUUUACAAGGAAGCAACACAGACUGUGCCGUCCACAUCUCCUGGCUGGACAGGUCCAAGGCUUCUGCUCCUUUCUUUGCAGAUUCUGUAUGGUUUAUUCCGAAGUCCCUAAUUUCAGUGAGCCCAAUCCAGAGUAUAACACGCAGCAGGCGCCCAACAAAUCGGUGAGUCUCUGGGCCUGGCGUUAGAGAAGAUGGCAGACCAGGCCUGGCAGCACGAUGUUGAGGAGGGUCUGAGUAUAUCUCAUCUGUGCCUGCAGGUGCAGAACAAUGACAACAGCCCUACUGCCCCACAAGCGACCACGGGACCCCCUGCUGCCUCUCCAGGUAGGAAUCCAUUUCUUUCCUUCCACUGGCCCCUUCAAGUCCCCCAUUCUGCCCAGCCAGGAAAGAUGUGUUUUCCUCAUCCCUUUUCCAAGUGUCUCCUCUCUCAGGAUGUUCCCCCUCCACCCAGUUCUCCUUCAUUUCCUACACCUUCUGCAAGUCUCAGUGGCGAAGAGACUUGAAGACCUGAGCUACUCUCUCCUGUCCAGUCAAGAAACAAAGGAGAGUAGAGUAGUUUCUCCAGGUGUGCCAAACAGGAUCACAUGGACCACACUUAAAGUAUCAUUGUAAAUUCUUUGUAAUAUAAAUCACUAAGUGAUGGGAAUACAUUCUGAGAAGUAGGUACACACACACACAUACACACAUACCUCGAUUGUGUGGACUACUUGAUUCCUAAGCUAUGUGGCAUAAUCUGUAUUAUAUUUUUCUUUUUUUAAGAUUUAUUUAUUUAUUUUAUGUAUGGGGGGGGAGCAUACACUGUCGCUCUCUUCAGACACACCGGAAAAGGGAAUUGGAUCCCAUUACAGAUGGUUGUGAGCCACCAUGUGGUUGCUGGGAACUGAACUCAGGACCUCUGGAAGAGCAGCCAAUGCUGUUACCAGUGAGCCAUCUCUCUAGCCCCUGUAUUUUUCUUUUUAAUUUCUUUUCUUUUUCUUAUGUUUUUCUUUCUUUUCCUUUCUCCCUUUUCUUUUGAUACACAUUCACACCAUGUUGUACAGACUGAUCUUGGGCUCACAAAGAUCCCCCUGCUUAGGCCUAACUAGUUCUGGAAUAUGCUACAUUUUAAAAGAUCAUUUUAUUGUUAUUUUAGGUUAAAUUUCACAACCCUAAUCCCAGCACUGGGGAGGAGAUGAGGCAAAAGAAUUGUCACAAGUUCCUAUCUAGUCUAGGGUUUAAAGCUAGGCCUUGUCUCAAACAAAAAACAGCAACAACAAAUUUUUAUUUCCUUUUCUGAAAUAAUAAUAGCAAAUAUAGUAUAGCAGGGUGUAGUGUCACACAUCCCAGUACUGGAGAGGUAGAGGCAGAAGAAUCACUGUAAAUUUAAGGUCAGCCUAGUCUACAUGGAAAAUUCCAGGCCACAUACAUAGUAAAACCUUGUCUC
rnacentral:lncRNA from 1 species